rnacentral:rRNA from 1 species
UACGGAGGGGGCAAGCGUUGUUCGGAAUUAUUGGGCGUAAAGCGUAUGUAGGCGGCUAGGUAAGUCAGGCGUGCAAGCCCGUGGCUCAACCACGGAAUUGCGUUUGAAACUGCUUAGCUUGAGUACAGGAGAGGAAAGCGGAAUUCCCAGUGUAGCGGUGAAAUGCAUUGAUAUUGGGAAGAACAUCUGUGGCGAAGGCGACUAACUGGGCCAUUUUUGACGCUGAGAUACGAAAGCGUGGGUAGCAAACAGG